CUCGACCCCCUUACUUCUUAUCCGUCGAUCAGCAACACCCACAUGCGAGAACGCCGGUGACCAAACGCAGGUAAGCCGCCCCCUCUUCCCUCCUCUCUCCUCUCUCUUUCUUCGCACUAACACCCCCAGUCCUCGCUGGCGUCUCCUAGUCGGCGACCCCUCUCCUCUUUCCUCUUUCUUCUCUCCCCUUUCUUCUCUCUUCUAUCUUCUGCUCUCCUCCCAUUCCCCUCCUUGUGUCCAUUGCUUCUGGAAACCCUAAGAGGCAGCCCUACCAGUGACACCUAGUGUCCCUCUCUUUUUUUCUCUCCGUCUAAGUCGCCCCACUCUCCCACCCCCUUUGCCCCCUUAUUUGUGUUUUUGAUUCUUCAUUUCCUCGACCCUCCCUUCUGCAAUCGCCGACGAUCUGCUCGUUGUUUAGUUGGGCAGUUCGAGCUGCCAUAAAAUUAAAUACCAGUGUAGCGAUGACGGGUUGAUAGACCCCCCUGUGGUUUCAUAGUAGUGUGUUAUGAUUUUUUAGGUUGUUAGUCAUGGCAUUUGGCGAUGAGCGUGAGGCGUAUGAGUGAGCAGCCAGAGCAGCCCUGGAUGGUGUUUGUAAAGGCCAGUGGGAGUUUAAAGAAGCAUGUCAGUGUCGGUGACCUCGGGUGUGCACCGAGACGAAUUUCCAGGUUCUACUCGCGGGAUUUGGUACGUCCCGCUUUCCGGUUCCCUUCUUUGUGUUAGUUAAGUUGUUCCCAUUUUAUUUUACAUUAGUUUGGUCAUAUUAGUAGCGUGUUGUAGUUGCAACUUGUCCUUUUCCAGUUUGGUUCGUUGUCAUUUUUGUGUUAGUGAGUUUCCUUAGUCCGCCGUAGGUAUAGUGGUUGUGGUAUGGGAUGGUAGAGUAAGGUCAUGUUCUCGGGGAGCGCAGGGAGGGUGGGGGUGGGGCAGGGGUCAGGGGGUGGGAUGGGGGAGGGGAAGGGAAGUAAAGGGAUCAAGGGAGCCUAUAGGUUGAGAAGUAGUGUCCGGAACCAAAAUGUAAUUCUUUUUUACUCAAAAAACUAAAAUGUGUGAAAGAAAUAAGCAGUAACCAUAAUAUAUAUAACGCCCUUUUAAAGGGCGAUAUACCUUAACGACCGUUUGCCAGUUAAGUAUAGCGCCCUUUUAAAAGGCGCUAUAUGUGAACGUCAGAAGAGCGGGAAGGUUUAGCGCCCUUUAUUAAGACGUUGUACUAUAGCGUCUUAAUAAAAGGCAUUAUACCUAUAUAAAAAGUUGUCCCUUCCCUUUCCCCACCAGGAGAGAAAUUAUUUUCUCGCUCCUCAUUCUCCUGUGGAGAUAAGUUUAGAUCAGGCCAAACUCUUUCAGCCGGAACUUGUUCGACUAAAACUGUUCCAAAAUAACUACCCGAUGAAUGAGGGAUAUCCCUACUUUGCGCAACCUCAUUAUUGCGAAUGUCUUCAGUCUUGACGUACAUUUCCAAUAUUUUUAUCACAAGAAAUUUUCGGUAUUCAUCCGGAGUCCUCAAAAAAUUUCUCAGAGUUUCAUCGUCUUCGAUGUUAAACUCAGCAUAACAAGCAACCCCUUACGGAAUGAUAAAAUACAGAUAUCUUUCGGUUACUUUAAUAUUCACUGAACGUUUGCUCACACUCAUUUUUUUACAUAACAACGAUACCAAUAUAUCGUACUCCAUUGUAAGUGAAAACUUAACAUGACACUGUGGAGAUAAACUAUAGCUCACAGAGUUAUUCGCCACCACGACCUCACCCCCUAAUAUAAUGAAACCCUUAUUCUUCGCUCUUCAGACAUUAUGACAAAAUGCAAAAUAACUUAACAAGGAAAUAUUUCAGAAGACUUGAGAAUGUUUAUGAAUGAAUUUUUACAAAAUCCAUGACCUCUUUAAAUAAGCCAAAAACUAGUCCGGGGGUACAAUUAUUUGAGGUAUAACGCCUUAAAUAUGGGCGCUAUACCCAGUUGAAUUAUUGUUAUAUCAGUUAAGCUCAGAAGAAUUAUAGGUGGGCCUACAUAAUAUAUAUAUAGUGCCUUUCAAAAGGUCUUUAUAUAUAUAGCUCCUUUUAAAAGGGCGCUAUACUUAACCGGGCAAACGGUCGUUAAGGUAUAGCGCCCUUUAAAAGGGCGUUAUAUAUAUAUUAUAGUCAUUGCUCAUUUUUUCCACACAUUUUGGUUCUUUGAGUCCAAAAGAACCACAUUUUGGUUCCGGACUCAUUGGGUCAUGGAACAUAGGUACUUUGACGGGUAAGUCUAUAGAGCUGGCGAAGAUUCUCCAGAAGAGGAAGGUUAAUAUAGAGUAUGUCCAGGAGACUAGGUGGGUAGGUUCGAAGGUGAGGGAUACGGACGAGUAUAAGCUGUGGUACUUUAGAGUUUUGAAGGGUAAGAAUGGAAUGAGUAUUUUGGUGGAUAGGGAUCUUAGAGAGUCUGUGGUAGAGGUUAGGUGGGUGAAUGGUAGAUUAAUGACUAUCAAGCUAGUGGUCGGAGAGCACACCAUUAAUGUCGUUAGCGCUUACGCAACAUAAACGGGCUUGGAUGAAGAGGUUAAAAGGCGCUUUUGGGAGGGAUUGCAUGAGAUUGUGCGUGGUAUUCCGCCUACUGAGAGGUUAUUUAUAAGAGGGAAUUUCAAUGGUCAUAUUGGGUCGACUUCUGGCGGCUUUGGUGAGGUGUAUGAUGGCUUAGUUUUGGGGAUAUGAACGGAGGAGGUACUUUGCUAUUGGAUUUCGCUAAAGCUUUUGAGUUGGUGAUUGAGAACUCUAGUUUUCAAAAGAGGGAGGAGCAUCUAGUUACUUUCCAAAGUGCGGUGGCAAAGACACAGAUUUAUUAUCUCCUUCUCAGGAGGUGUGAUAUAGAGGGAUGUGCAAGGAUUGCAAGGGUAUACCGUGGGAGACCCUGGUGAUGCAACAUAGGCUCUUGGUGAUGGACGUCAGUAUCAUGAUAAAGAAGAAGAAGAGGUGUAUUCGAGGCCAACCGAGGAUCAUGUGGGGAGCCUUCACUAAUGUUAAAGCCAGGAGUUGGAGGGGAGGUUAUCGGAUAUGGGAGCCUGGAAGAGUAGUGCGGAACAAUGUGGACAACGAUGGCGAGCUUUAUAAGGAAGGGGACAAGAGUGGUGUUAAGGGUCUCGAAGGGAUACUCCGGCCGGCACAAAGGCGACUGAUGGUAGAAUGAAGUGGUCCAAGGUAAAGUGGAAGCAAAGAAGGUGGAAAAUCUGAAGUUAGUAGGUAGCACAAGCGAUGAGGAGAGGAAAGAGAACAAAAAGUAGUAUAAGGAAGCUAGGAAGGAGGCGAAGCUGGCAGUCAUGGAGGCUAAGACUGUGGCGUUUGGUCGUCUGUACGAGGAACUGGGGGAGAAAGGCAAUGAGAAAAAGUUAUUCUGAUUGUCCAAGGCAAACGAGAGGAAGGCUCGGGAUCUGGACCAAGUGAGGUGUAUCAAAGACGAGGCCAUCAUAGUAUUGAUGAGAGAGGAGUUGACAUACUUACUUUCAUAUACUUUUGAAUGAAGAGGGGGAUCAAGACAUUGUGCUAGGUAAAUUAGGCACUCUGAGAGUCACCGAGACUUUAGGUACUGCAGACGCUGUAAGCUCGGGGAGGUCGUGAGGGCUAUGCGUAAGAUGAGGAGGGGUAGAGCAACCGGACCAGACGAAAUUCCGGGAGCAUUUUGGAGGUGUGUGGGUAGAGCAGGCUUGGAGUGGCUGUCUGGGUUGUUUAAUAUUAUUUUCAGGAUGAAGAGGAUGCCCGAUGAGUGGAGGUGGAGCACGGUGAUUCCGUUAUAUAAGAACAAAUGUGAUAUUAAGAGUUGUAACAACUGUAUGGGUAUCAAGUUACUAAGUCAUACUAUGAAAGUCUCGGAGAGAAUAGUAGAAGUGAGGGUGUAGAGGACGGUAUCUAUAUCCGACAACCAGUUCGGGUUCAUGCCAGGUCGUUCAACUACAGAAGAUAUCCACCUUAUUAGGAGGUUGGUGGAGCAGUACAGGGAUAAGAAGAAGGAUUUGCACAAUGUAUUUAUUGAACUAGAGAAAGUGUAUGACAAGGUCCCUAGAGAGGUUCUUUGGAGAUGCUUGGAGGUUAAAGGGGUGUUGGUUGCCUACAUUAGGGCGAUUAAAUACAUGUAUAAUAGAGCUAAGAAUCGGGUUAGGAUAGUGGGAGAUGACUCGGAGCAUUUUUCGGUUGUUAUGGGAUUACAUCAAGGAUCUGCGCUCAGCCCGUUCCUAUUUGCCUUGGUUAUGGACUCACUGAUACGCCAUAUUCAAGGGGAGGUGCUAUGGUAUAUGUUAUUCACUGAUGACAUAGUUUUGAUUGAUGAGACGUGAGACGGAGUUAAUGAGAAGUUGGAGGUUUGGAGACAUAUCUUUGAGUCUAAGGGUUUCAAGUUUAGUAGGACUAAGACGGAACACCUGGAGUACAAGUUCGGCGCAGAGCCGAGUUAAGCGGGCGCGAAAGUGAGGCUUGAAUCAGAGGUCAUCCCCAAGUGAGGCAGAUUCAAGUACCUUGGGUCGGCUAUCCAGGGGGAUGGGAAGAUUGACGAGGAUGCUACACACCGCAUAGGCGUGGGUGGAUGAAAUAGAGACUAGCAUCUGGAGUACUGUAUGAUAGGAAAGUGCCUCUGUCACUCAAAAGUAAGCUUUACAGAGCGGUGGUUAGACCGACCAUGUUGUAUGGGGCUGAAUGUUGGUCAUUGAAGCACUCACAUGUCCAUAAGAUGAAGGUAGCAUAAAUGAGGAUAUUGAGGUGGAUGUGCAGGCACACUAGGAUGGAUAAGAUUAGGAAUGAAGAUAUUCGGGAGAAGGUGGGCAUAACUCCUAUGGAUGACGAGAUGCGGGAAGCGAGGCUCAGAUGGUUCGGGCACGUACGGAAGAGAAGCCCAGAUGCCCUGGUAAGAAGGUGUGAGUGGUUGGUUUUGGCGGGUACGAGAAGAGAUAGAGGGAGGCCUAAAAAGUAUUGGGGAGGGAAGAUUAGACAGGACAUGGUGUGACUUUAGAUUUUCGAGGACAUGGCCCUUGAUAGGAAGGUGUGGAGUUCGAGCAUUAGGAUUGUAAGUUAGAAGGUAGUUGAGCAUUGUUCUACUUUGUACAUGUGUGAGGCUAGUCUAAUCGGGUUUUUUCUUAUACUGCUAGUGGUUCAUGUUGUGUUCGCACUAUUCUGUAGUUUUUCUUUGUACCGGACCUUAUCUACUGAUUAUUGUUAAUGUUUUGCAUCUAUUUUCUGGUUGUUAUGUUGCUGUUAUUAUUUCUAUCAUUUUCUAUUGAUUACUGAUAUAUAGUCUCUCCUUUCGUCUUCUUGAGUUGAGGGUUUACCGAAAACAGUCUCUCUACCCCCUCUGGGUAGGGGUAAGGUCUGCGUACACACUACCCUCCUCAGAUCCCACUUGUGAAAUUUUACUGGGUUGUUGUUGUUAUACUCUUUAACUAGAGUCCUUACUUUUUUCUCAUUUUAACAACAUGUGCUAGCCCUUUUUGUUAUUUGUGUGAGAUAGUUGUCAUCCAUUUUCAUUUCUAUUUUGAUGUCUUCUACUCUUUCUUGGUUGAAUCUCUUCAUCUAAAAGAUGGUAAAUUUCUCCUCAAGUAGGCUACACUUAACACCGUUUGCAAAUAGCUGGUGUGUACUCAACAGUCGCCUUUUGUGUGCUUUACUUCGGCUCUGUUUCGGGUCUUUUCAUUAUUACUUCGUCUCACUUUUAUCUUUUGGUUAGAUUUUCUAUUUGCUUUUUCUUUUCACCUCUUUCGUACGUGUUACUUGUGAUCCACUCUCAAUCCACAUUCAUUGUUGAGUGGAAGAGGUCGUUGGAAGAAUAGUACCCAAUUAUGAGUCGAAGUCGAUUUCCUCAGGAAAUUAAGAAUGAGUGUUAAAGUGUACACUUGAUAUGUGUAGAAAAAAUAGCCUAAAUACACUAACAAUCAAGCUGGUUUUGCAAUUUACUUUUAUAAACUACACUAUCAAUGAUUAAUUAGAGAAAUGAAACUAGAAAUUGACUAAUUAUUUUUAGUUGUUUUCAAAUAGGUAAAAAACCUAGAGAUGUAACCUUCGCCUAGGUGUUAACCUAAUGGGUUAAUUACGCUAACACUUAUUUUAGUGAUUGGAGUGUAUGAUAGCUCUCAAUUCUAAAUUACCUACUCAAUAUCUCUCGGUCAUAGAGUGAUUUUGCCUAAUUUGAUUUUUUCAUGCCCAAAUGGGUAUCAAACCAAAUUGUUGAUAUGAGCUCAAGUCGGAUUUUCCCUAUCUCUAGUUCAAACCCUUUAAUUAGGCUAAUCAAAAGCUUAACUAACCCAAUUUCUUGUUAGCCAAGUUUUCCUAAACUAGUUAUUUCUUUCUCAAGUAAAGACCAAGCCAAAAAGGCAUGAAUCAAUGUUUGCAACCAUUAAUUCUAAAAUUAAAGCUUGAACAAGGCUAAAUAACAAAUACCCAAUCAUAAACAAGCAUUAGAUUAAUUACCCAUAAGGUUUACACACUAGAGUUGAGUCACAACCCUAGUAAAUGUCUAGCUACUCAUAGUAGAAAUUGGAGAAAAUAAAGAAGAAACACUAAUUAAAGCCAUAAUAUAAAAUUAAAAUGAUAAACUAUGGUAUUUUUGUCUUCACAAAUUUUCCAAAAUGGUAAACUACAAUGGCCACAGCUCAAAAAAACUACAAAACUUAACCUAAAAAAGUGAUUUUCGUCUAUUUAUAAUAGUCCAAAAUUCGCUGACAAAAAUGUCAUUCGAGAGGUUUUGCGGCCGCACAAUUCCAUGUGCGGCCCGCACUUUGCUUGAAUGUGCAGGUUGAGAGAUUCUACAGUCGCACAAUUUGAUCUGCGACUGCACUUCAGCUUCUGCGGCCGCACAAUUCCAUGUGCGGUCCGCACUAGAGGCAAGGCUUCAAUCUUGGUCGUUUUGCACACUCUCCGAACUUUUUGAAUUCUUGUCAAUGCGACCAUAUUUUGCGGCCGCACAAAUUGUGUGCGGUCCACACUUCUCUUCAAUCCACCUCUAAGCUUCUAACACCUCAAAUAUAUUCUCUCAGCUUCUUCAGAUAUAAGCAUUUUGAUGAUCCGACUUUGUAGAUAUGUCCAUAAUCCGAUAAUGCUUUCAAUUUUACUUCGCUUUAGAUGCAUUAUGAACGGAAAGCUUGAUAUAACAGGUAUUGUCCGCUUGAUGAAAUCUUUUAAUUCACAACCACUCCAGCCUUUCUUUGGUGGAGACGAGACACUUCAUGGACCAGUGGUGAUUGGUGUGAGUUGGAGUUAAUUGAUUAGCACCAAAUUAAUAAAGAGUCGCAGGUAUAUAAGUUUUCUUCUAAUUUUUUAUGCAGCUACCAAUAAGUAAACGCUCUAUUUCAUGUCAUUGACCAUCUUUUAUUUGGAAACUGGGACUUACUUUCCCAAUUGAUAUGUGCUUCAUUUCCGGACUUACCCCAAAUGUCGCUAUAGAUGAAACUGGAAUUCUGAGAAAUGAUGGUGCUAGGCAUAAAGUUUAAUUGGUUAGUUUUUGCUAGAUAUCUAUAUUAAUUCCUUAUUCACUUGAAAUUCAAAAGGUGAUACACGAUAGUAUCUGCUCAUUUCUUUUAAAAAAAUAGCAUAUUAUAAUGCUCUCUGAUGUGUAAUUAGAUAGCACAUGUGCUUUGUCUACAAUCCCUUAAAGUUAGUUAAAUCAUUAGAUAUGUUCAAAGAUUAAUACUAUGCAUAAGAUGUUUAGGGAGUUUGAAUAAGUAAGGUGUAUGAAUGCAGAAAAAGAGAAAAAUAUCUAAGCUUUCUCUUUAGACAAAUAGAAUAUGUCCGUGAUAAUGAAUGCAACAUUUGGACUAGCAGAAGAGAAAGCGAAAACAAAUGCAUUUCUAAGGCAAGGACUAACAUACAUUUAUUAAUUUGUGCAGAUCAAAACAAUCUUUUUGAUCUAUGUUAAUGUUCAUUGAAUGUAUUUAUUCAUUUUAUCUUUUUUAUAUGAUAAUAAUAUACUAUUUGAACUGAAGUAACUACAGGUUCAAAUAUUAACAUAUUGAAUGCUAACUUUUUCCAUCUCAAUUUUAAUUCUGAAUUUACAGCAGACAAGUAAGUUGAGCACUUUUUGCACAAAAAACUAUCAAUUUUUUUUUUCUUCUUUAAGAUGAUUUAUCAUUUAGUUAUGCGCUCCCUUGUUAUUCAUUUCCUAGAAAUUACAGAGUCAUGAUUCAAGGAAAAUAAAUGAUGGUUUCUUGUGGAAAGCUUCUGCUGGUUGCUUAUUUUUUUCUUUGCAAUUUCUCAUGCACCUUAUAGAUAGUAGUGACAAUGACGUCUGUAGAAAGUGAUGGACCCUAAUUGCCAUACAAAUAUUAUUUCAGUCGACAUUUUAUAUUCAAUCAUAGAUGCAGAGUACUGGUACGUACAUUUCCUUAGUAUGUAUCUUUUCUGGUAUUAUAGUAAGAACUAUCCGGUACUGAAUACGUCUUUUCACUUUGUAACUGGUUGAGAUCGUCUGUUAUUUGGGGAUUGAUAUUGUAGUGCAUACAACCAAACUUUUAAUAGGAGAACGCACAUUGAGAUGAGGUAAUGUGAUAGUAAAAAAAAGAUCUUGACAAAUUUGAGGGAGCUGGUUGAUGAUCAGAAAAUUACUAUCUAUUGACUGGCUUAGGGAAUAAGGAGUACAUCAUAAAAGAACCAUGACAAGCAUCAACAGGAAUCCAUGUCAUGAAGCAUUAGGCUAUUCAAGAAAAGGUUUAUUAAGGAAAUUAUUCCCCUCAAGUACCCGAGGUGUUGGAAUAUUAUCCUCCCACAAUAGAAUGAUUUAACUUACCAGUAUAUCGGUACCAAAAACGCUGGUGAACAGCGAACCACUUAAUGACUGUAAAUCACACCGGAAUUUAAUUGCGCAGAAGAAGGAGAAAAAGUUCAGAAAAUUUUGUAAGGAAAGAUUCUGGGAUCAAGGCAUAUUUAUAACUAUUUUUUGGCAUUGUUUCUGAAAAGUUUGCAACCUUUCAGAAACAGCCAUGGCGAUUGGAAUAGGCGGGAACGAUUCCCGUUUAAAAUAUUUCGGGAAAAUAAUUUAAAAUAAUUCGGAAAAAAAUGGAUCGGGUCGCGUCGCGGGUCCUGGGUUAUUCCGGGUUGACUUUUCAUUAAUUAAUUAAAGGAAAUUUUGUCCAAAAAGAUUAAUCAACCAAUCGAUCUUUGACCGAAUCCGAAGACGAAGCCGAGCGAGCGACGACGGCGAGGAGCGAGGUUUACCUUCUUUCCAACCCAUUUAAUACCAAGGGAAGUGCUUUCUCAAUAUAAGCACAUUCCCUUUUCUUUCCACCACCAAUGAAGGGAGCUCACUUUCCCUUCACAUUUCUUCCAUCCAUUUCCCAUUCACCAAUCUUUUAAUCACAACAAUCCCCCACAUGAAUGGGGAAUGGCUAUAAGACAAAGGAAUAUACAAAUGAGUGUGUGAUUUACAAGCAAGGAUUAAUUGCAUCUCGAUAAGUAUGUUUCCCUUUGAACUUUCCUUUAAUGAACUUAUAUCGGAUAUACUCGGUCAAUCGGUAGAUUUGAUAUCUUUGAACCGUCGAGCUUUGGUGUAUACCUAAACAAUAUAAGUCAUACAAUCAACCCUUAAUCAUCUAUGGUUCUCAGUGUUAUGUUCGUUUCAUCUAUGAACACCGUCUGAUUUUAUGAGUGCUUAGAGAAUAAACCUUUGCUUUCAUUCCCCUUGAAGCGACUUACACUUCACACUCACAUAGGUGAUUUCUAAACAUAUAAUCCUAUAGACACACUAUCUGGUCAUUUUCUGCCAGUUUUAGCAAAUCAUUAAAAACCUUUAAGCUUNNNN
rnacentral:lncRNA from 1 species